rnacentral:other from 1 species
UGUUCCCUGCGGCGUUUGAUGCAAAGUGACAAAGCCCUGAGCCUAAUUACGAACUAAGGGAAGAAAGAUUACUUAACCGUUGCGUACGCUCUUUUAAAGAGAAGCCUUACGUUAAUGUCUUGUUCCCACUUGAACCCACUGGUUCAAGGUAGAAACUUUGCUUCGGCGCUUGCGGGGAACCC